rnacentral:rRNA from 1 species
UGGGGAAUCUUGCACAAUGGGCGCAAGCCUGAUGCAUCAACGCCGCGUGAACGAUGAAGGUCUUCGGAUCGUAAAGUUCUGUUGCAGGGGAAGAUAAUGACGGUACCCUGUGAGGAAGCCCCGGCUAACUACGUGCCAGCAGCCGCGGUAAUACGUAGGGGGCUAGCGUUAUCCGGCUUUACUUGGCGUAAAGGGUGCGUAGGUGGUCUUUCAAGUCGGUGGUUAAAGGCUACGGCUAAACCGUAGUUAGCCUCGGAAACUGGAAGAAUUGAGUGCAGGAGAGGAAAGGGGAAUUCCCAGUGUAGCGGUGAAAUGCGUAGAUAUUGGGAGGAACAACAGUAGCGAAGGAGGCUUUCUGGACUGAAACUGACACUGAGGAACGAAAGAGUGGGUAGCAAACAGG